rnacentral:rRNA from 1 species
GACGAACGCUGGCGGCGUGCUUAACACAUGCAAGUCGAACGGAAAGGCCCUGCUUUUGUGGGGUGCUCGAGUGGCGAACGGGUGAGUAACACGUGAGUAACCUGCCCUUGACUUUGGGAUAACUUCAGGAAACUGGGGCUAAUACCGGCUAGGAGCUCCUGCUGCUGGGUGGGGGUUGGAAAGUUUCGGCGGUUGGGGAUGGACUCGCGGCUUAUCAGCUUGUUGGUGGGGUAGUGGCUUACCAAGGCUUUGACGGGUAGCCGGCCUGAGAGGGUGACCGGCCACAUUGGGACUGAGAUACGGCCCAGACUCCUACGGGAGGCAGCAGUGGGGAAUAUUGCACAAUGGGCGGAAGCCUGAUGCAGCAACGCCGCGUGCGGGAUGACGGCCUUCGGGUUGUAAACCGCUUUCGCCUGUGACGAAGCGUGAGUGACGGUAAUGGGUAAAGAAGCACCGGCUAACUACGUG